UUGAUUGGUGCUUGCAUCAUGAUUUACAUUUGAGUGAGUGGCGAACUGGUGAGUAACACGUGGGAAACUGCCCAGAAGCGGGGGAUAACACCUGGAAACAGAUGCUAAUACCGCAUAACAACUUGGACCGCAUGGUCCGAGCUUGAAAGAUGGCUUCGGCUAUCACUUUUGGAUGGUCCCGCGGCGUAUUAGCUAGAUGGUGGGGUAACGGCUCACCAUGGCAAUGAUACGUAGCCGACCUGAGAGGGUAAUCGGCCACAUUGGGACUGAGACACGGCCCAAACUCCUACGGGAGGCAGCAGUAGGGAAUCUUCCACAAUGGACGAAAGUCUGAUGGAGCAACGCCGCGUGAGUGAAGAAGGGUUUCGGCUCGUAAAACUCUGUUGUUAAAGAAGAACAUAUCUGAGAGUAACUGUUCAGGUAUUGACGGUAUUUAACCAGAAAGCCACGGCUAACUACGUGCCAGCAGCCGCGGUAAUACGUAGGUGGCAAGCGUUGUCCGGAUUUAUUGGGCGUAAAGCGAGCGCAGGCGGUUUUUUAAGUCUGAUGUGAAAGCCUUCGGCUCAACCGAAGAAGUGCAUCGGAAACUGGGAAACUUGAGUGCAGAAGAGGACAGUGGAACUCCAUGUGUAGCGGUGAAAUGCGUAGAUAUAUGGAAGAACACCAGUGGCGAAGGCGGCUGUCUGGUCUGUAACUGACGCUGAGGCUCGAAAGUAUGGGUAGCAAACA
rnacentral:rRNA from 2 species